UAGGAAUGUCAUUUUAAAAAAUGAAUACCAAUCUUCAAAGCUAUGUGAGGCACUGUACACCAAUUGCGAGGACAUGAUGGAUCGGCUUCAGAUGUUGGGGAAAUCUAAGUCUCAAUUUAUAAAGGAUUAUAACCAAAGGCUUUUUAAUUGGUUGGUGGCCUUCUCCCUCGUCAUGAUCGUGAUUGGCCGCUUUAUUAUAAAGUUCAUUUUGAUCGAAAUGGGAGCAUGGUUACUUUUUAUAUUUCUUGAGACCUACACAAGGAUGUUUUGAUCAGCAGAAUCACUGUACUAUAAUCCAGUUUCACAUUUUAUAGUUGCAGCACCACACCAUGUAUAUUCAGCACCACACCUAUACUUAAUUAUCUAUAUAUUCAGUACUAACCUACAUGUUUGUGUUGGUGCAGUGGCGAGCCAUGACUCUGCCUGAUAGAUACAUUGAGCAUGGAUCUCAGAAGGAUCAAAUUCAAGCAGCAGGGUUGAGUUCAAACCAUAUUGUAGCUACUGCUUUGUCAUUAACCAAUGUUCAACGAAACAAUCGUUUGCUUCUCAACAUGCAAAUAUGAACCUUAUUAUUAAUAGGAUUUCAAAUGUAAAUAAAUAUAUAACGCUAAUAAAUUAAAGCUCUGCCAAAGAUUUGUUAUUAGACCGUGUU